rnacentral:misc_RNA from 1 species
AGAGAGAGAGAGAGAGAACCAAAAACAGGCUUCAAAUCUUCCACUGCCAAGGAAGUUUCAACAAAUUCUAUUUGAGCCUCACAACAAGAUCACAUAUCCAGAAGAGGAAGCCCAAAAAUGGAAAACUAGAAGAAUAAAAAGGGUUGGAGACGCUGUCGUGGUUCUUUGAAAGCAUCUGGGCACGCUGAGAAGGGCAGGGAAGAGAUGAGCCUCGUUUAAAGCAAGGGAGGGGGAAAGGUUUUCAUCGGAGCAAGGGAGGGAUGGAUGAUGAUGGAGGUGGGUCUUCAAGCCAAUGCAUGUGGGUUUUUAGCUCUUCGUCUUAUAGUCAUCGCUAAGAAAGGGGAAAGAUGCAUGUGGGUUUUUAGUUGAAGAAGAAGAUAAGAGAGGAAGAUUGGCUGAGGGUGAAGGGGAGGGAGGGGAUUUGUGA